CAAAUUUCAGGCAAAAGUAGACUUAAAUUCGGAAUUCAUUUUAAAUUAAUUUUGAAUUCUCACUUUAGUGAAUAACUUUGCAAGUGUAGAGUAUUUUAUUUUCCAUGAUAUCUUUCUGCCAUGUUUAAAUGUACCAACAUUUUCUUUACGUGAAUUUGUUUAUAUUUUGGGUGUAUAGAAGGCCGAACGUUAUUUACUGUUCAAAAUAUUUCAGACACAUCUGAUAAAUAUAUAAUUUGGCACUUUUGAUAUUGUUCAAUUAAACCGAAACAAACCAUUCAUUAAAUAAAUGCUAUUAAAGUUAUAAAGCACCAAUCGAUUGCGCAGGUCUGCAC